rfam:Rattus norvegicus chromosome 20, whole genome shotgun sequence.
GGGGAUCUAGCUCAGUGGUAGAGCGCUUGCCUAGCAAGCGCAAGGCCCUGGGUUCGGUCCCCAGCUCCA